rnacentral:rRNA from 1 species
AGAGUUUGAUCCUGGCUCAGGAUGAACGCUGGCGGCGUGCUUAACACAUGCAAGUCGAACGAAGCACUUUAACCUGAUUCUUCGGAUGAAGGUUUUUGUGACUGAGUGGCGGACGGGUGAGUAACGCGUGGGUAACCUGCCUCAUACAGGGGGAUAACAGUUAGAAAUGACUGCUAAUACCGCAUAAGACCACGGAGCUGCAUGGCUCAGUGGGAAAAACUCCGGUGGUAUGAGAUGGACCCGCGUCUGAUUAGGUAGUUGGUGGGGUAACGGCCUACCAAGCCAACGAUCAGUAGCCGACCUGAGAGGGUGACCGGCCACAUUGGGACUGAGACACGGCCCAAACUCCUACGGGAGGCAGCAGUGGGGAAUAUUGCACAAUGGGGGAAACCCUGAUGCAGCGACGCCGCGUGAGCGAAGAAGUAUUUCGGUAUGUAAAGCUCUAUCAGCAGGGAAGAAAAUGACGGUACCUGACUAAGAAGCACCGGCUAAAUACGUGCCAGCAGCCGCGGUAAUACGUAUGGUGCAAGCGUUAUCCGGAUUUACUGGGUGUAAAGGGAGCGUAAACGGCUGUGUAAGUCUGAAGUGAAAACCCCGGGCUCAACCCCGGGACUGGUUUGGAAACUAUGCAGCUAGAGUGUCGGAGAGGUAAGUGGAAUUCCCAGUGUAGCGGUGAAAUGCGUAGAUAUUGGGAGGGACACCAGUGGCGAAGGCGGCUUACUGGACGAUGACUGACGUUGAGGCUCGAAAGCGUGGGGAGCAAACAGGAUUAGAUACCCUGGUAGUCCACGCCGUAAACGAUGACUACUAGGUGUCGGGGAGCAAAGCUCUUCGGUGCCGCAGCAAACGCAAUAAGUANUCCACCNGGGCAGUNCGUUNNCAAGGAGGCAU